GUAGGUGGCAAGCGUUGUCCGGAAUUAUUGGGCGUAAAGCGCGCGCAGGUGGUUCGUUUAAGUCUGAUGUGAAAGCUACCCGGGCUCAACCCGGGGAGGGUCAUUGGAAACUGGGGAACUUGAGUGCAGGAGAGGAAAGUGGAAUUCCACGUGUAGCGGUGAAAUGCGUAGAUAUGUGGAGGAACACCAGUGGCGAAGGCGACUUUCUGGCCUGUAACUGACACUGAGGCGCGAAAGCGUGGGGAGCAAACAGGAUUAGAUACCCUGGUAGUCCACGCCGUAAACGAUGAGUGCUAAGUGUUCGGGGGGGUUUCCGCCCCUCAGUGCUGCAGCUAACGCAUUAAGCACUCCGCCUGGGGAGUACGGCCGCAAGACUG
rnacentral:rRNA from 1 species